rnacentral:rRNA from 1 species
UACAGAGGUCUCAAGCGUUGUCCGGAAUUAUUGGGCGUAAAGAGCUCGUAGGCGGUUUGUUGCGUCGGCUGUGAAAACCUGAGGCUCAACCUCAGGCCUGCAGUCGAUACGAGCAGACUAGAGUGUUGCAGGGGAGACUGGAAUUCCUGGUGUAGCGGUGAAAUGCGCAGAUAUCAGGAGGAACACCGGUGGCGAAGGCGGGUCUCUGGGCAACAACUGACGCUGAGGAGCGAAAGCGUGGGGAGCGAACAGG